UUGGGACCUGUCGUCAGGUACUGCCCCCUAUCAGGAGGCCCUUCCUGGACACUUUGUGCUGACGUCUGUGGCCUGGUGCCUCGGUGGUGCGGGGAGAGACAGAGUGAGGACUCGGGAUGCUCGGGAAGCUGGAGAUGGGAUCAGUGUCAUUUGAGGACGUAGCUGUGGACUUCACGUGGCAGGAGUGGAAGAAGCUGGAUGUUGCUCAGAGGACGCUCUACAGGGAUGUGAUGCUGGAGAACUACAGCAGCCUGGUGUUCGUGGGGCACUGCACAGCCAAACCUGAGUUGAUCAUUAAGUUGGAGCAUGGAUUUGGGCCUUGGAGUAAAGCAGAAGCCUCAGUCUGGAACUUUCCAGAUGUUCGAAAAGCACAUGUUCCAAUUGAGACCAUCCAGGAAAAUGAAGAGAGACAUUUGUGUGAAGAGAAAACCACCACCAGCAAUAUAUCUAACGAAGAAGGGGCUGAAGCACAACUAAAGGUUCAACAGAAAAUGCACCAAGGGGAAAAGCCAGAUUCUUGUGUGGAAACAUCCCGCAAAAGGCCGCAGCACAAGAAGACUCACACGUGUGGGAAACACUAUGACUGUGGGGACUGUCAUGAAGCUAUCCAUGGUAAGUCACCACCCACAGAACACCAGAGAACGCAGACUAAAGAGAAGACCUAUGAGUGCAAAGAAUGCCGGAAAGAGUUCUACCACAAGUCACAUCUCUUUCGACAUCAGAAAACUCAUACAGGCAAGAAGCCCUUUGAAUGUGAUGAAUGCCAAAAAGCUUUCUGCCACAAGUGCCAUCUCGUCCAGCACCAGAGAAUUCACACCGGGGAGAGGCCCUUUGAGUGUAAAGAGUGUAAGAAAGCCUUCCGCCGCAAGUGGCUUCUGACUCUACAUCAGAGGACUCACACAGGAGAGAAGCCUUAUGGGUGCAAAGAGUGCAGGAAAGCCUUCUUCUACAAGUCCCAUCUCACUCGACACCAGAGAACCCACACAGGCGAGAAGCCCUACCAAUGUGAGGAGUGCAAGAAAGCUUUCUGGCAGAAAUCAAACCUUACUGCACACCGGAGAAUCCAUACCGGUGAGAAGCCCUAUGAAUGUAAAGUGUGCAAGAACGCUUUCUACAACAAGUCCAACCUCACUCUGCAUCAGCGAACUCACACGGGCGAGAAGCCCUAUCAGUGUAAAGAGUGCUGGAAAGCUUUCUACAGCAAAUCAAAACUCAGCCGCCAUCAGACGACUCACACAGGUCACUGCUUCUGUCAACUCCAAUCCGCCAUGGGAGGAAACUUCCUCUUUACAGUAGUGUACCACAGAGCCUCAUAACCACCUGAACUCCUGAGACUAAGUGACUGUUGUGACAUUCUGAUCCAAUGCUCAAUCUCAGAUGGAGGAAAAUAAUCAGACACCUAUGUCAUCCAUCUAAGCCUCAGGGAAUGUUCUGGAAGAGGUGGCUUGAAAGAAUGAAAAAUCAAAAACAGCAUAUGAAGAUGAACCCACUGAACCUGAACUACAUCAGAAUCUGCCCACAGUUUGGAGAAGGAGUCAACACCCUACUGAUCACAUCCAUUGCUAGAGAGAUGUCGGUAUAUGUCUUAGGGAUUCUGUUCCUGUGAAGAGACACCAUGACCAGAGCAACUCCUAUAAAGGAAGACAUUUGAUGGGGUGGCUUACAGUUCUAGAGGUUUAGUCCAUUAUCACCAUGGUGGGACAUGAUGACGAGCAAGUAGACAUGGUGCUGUAGUUGAGAAUCCUGCAUCUUGAUUGGCAGGAAAGAGGAAGUGAACUGAAGCACUGGAUGAGGCUUGAGCACAUAUGAGACCUCAAAGCCUGCCACACUGUGAUGCACGUCCUCCAACAAAGCCACACCUACUCCAACAAUGAUAAUGCCUCUCCCUCUGAGCUUAUGGGAACCAAUUACAUUCCAACUACCACAGUAUAUAACAUUUACUCAUUCCAAAUCAGCUUAGUAAACAGUCAGCACCAUGUUUUACCAGUAAAUAAUUAGUAGCAGUUCAUGUUUUGUUUAAAAUUCCUUCAUUUUCUCCUAACAGAAUAGCCAUGUUUUAAAGUAUUAACUCUUCUCAUUAGUUCUUUUUAUGCUCACCUAUCUAUCUAUCUAUCUAUCUAUCUAUCUAUCUAUCUAUCUAUCUAUCUAUCAUCUCUCCAUUUGUUCCUGUCACUGAGUCAGAGGUACAGCCUGAGUCAUGGAGCUUGGAAAGAAACUUGAGACAAGCAUGCUUGGGUCUGAAGUAGUUGGGCCAAUUAUUAUUCUUUUAAAAAAUGCUGCAAGAUCCCCGCGGCAGUAGGCAGCAGAAAUGCUGUAGGUCCCAAAUGGUGGUAAUGGGCCAUGUGGUGGCAGGCAGCGGGCUCUGGGAGCAGCCAGUCCCAGGCAGAAAUGGCUGCCGGUCCCUGAGCAGUGGCUGGUCCCAGGCAGGGAGACACAUGGCAGGCGGGCAGGAGACAGAGACAUGGAUAGACACGACAUGCAGGGUGAGGUUGAAUAUUUAUUCAGGGGAGAGAGAGAGAGAGAGAGAGAGAGAGAGAGAGAGAGAGAGAGAGAGAGAGAGAGAGAGAGAGAAGAGGAGAAAGAGACAGAGAAGGGGGGAAGCAGAGAAGUGGGGAGAGAGGCAGAAGCGAAGCUGCCUCUCCGAGAGGAAGAUGGAAAAGAGAGUGAGCUCAGGCGAGAAGCUGAAAAUCAGCCUGCCUCAGCAGAUGGGGGAGGGAGUGGGCGUGGCUUGUCUCUUAAAGAGACAGAAAACCAUAACACCAAUCCCAUCUGAGAGUCAGCUUUUCAGAGAACUAAAACAGCAUGUGCCUGUAUACAUUUUAAAUAUUAUCUGUGCCCAAAGGGCAUUUAAAAGAAACAUCUAAGGACCCAGAAAGUGAUGACAUCUGUGUCUUUACAAUUAAAAAGUAUAAACAAAAGCAAGGAUGUUCAUGCUUGGUAAAGCAGAAGCAAAGGCAGACAACAGGCAUAAGGCAAGGAGACCCAAGAACACGAAGGCUAUCCUAUAGCAGAGCCAGCAGGCUUGGAGACUCAAUGUUGCUGCAGGCUCCUAUGUAAUCUUUUCAAAUGCCUUUAGCUGUUUGAACAUUUAGCUGUUGACAUUCUCUGCUAACAUUGUCAAAGGCCAGCAUUUCUAUAAUAUCUGAGAUCAGAUUGAAAACCCACCUUUUCAUGUCACCAAAUCCUGAAAUGAAGGAAUUCAGCAGGUUUAAACAAGUUCUGGCCAACUAGCCCCAGUCAUGGGGGAUCAGUUGCUGCAUUUCAGCUAUCCCACUCAACAAUCCCAUCAUACAUGGAGAUGUAGCUCUGUAAGUGGAGAUGACUUGUUUAAAAUCACUAAGUAUCUAAUACACAAUAGGCUUCUAUUCUGCCCACAUUCCCCUCUUAGAAAAAUUAUCACCAACUCUGAGUCUAAAGGGUUAGAAAUGUACCGGUACUUCAAGGUGCCACAGAUAGUAUGGCUCCAGAUCCUCUUGCUUUUGAGCUAACUGAGUUCUAGGGUUAGUCCAGAAACACCAACUGUAGGGAUGCAGAGGAAUGGAUGAUUAGCAGAGAACUUUUCAUCUUCUGAAUGAUCAACAGAGUCAGAAGACUGAUCAAGGGAGCCAAAGGAGGAAGGCAGGGCCCCAUUACAUCAUCUUAUUUCCUUCUGAAGGAGCUAUCUGCCCUGUGGUGUCUCCUUGUGCCAAUAGGGCAGUAGUCAUUUGCAAUGGCCAGAUACUAAGGUGAAAAAGCCACAAGGACAAGACAUUGAAUGGGAUCCCCUAGAUUUGCUGAGGAGCCUGUCUACAAACAUAAACACCUUCCCAUUGCUUCCUGGGCAAUGCUCCCAGUAACAGAAGUAACAGUAUUUGUCUCUAUAUUCUGACAGGUCAUAGAAAUCUCAAUUUUGUACUUUCUAGUGGAAUGCUUUUAGCAUUGCUUACCAUAUGCACACAUGGCCUGCCCUUUGCUCUGGCAUCCAGGAGUGGGACCCUAGCAUCCUUUAUAAUCUUGUUUAUACUUUCUUAUUGCAUUAAAAAGUUCCCAUAUUUUAGUUUCAUCCUUUAACCAAAAGAUUGAAACUCUUAAACUAUUAUACCUACUAUUUGGCUGUUUGCUUUACCAUGAAUUUUCUAUUUUAAAAUUAUUAAGAAUGUGAGUACAAAAAAUCAGCUCUGAAUCAAUAAGAAUAAUAUAACCUACUUAUGGGAGACUACCAUAUCAAAACUUAAAUUCAAAUUAUAUGCAAAUUAGUUAAAAUUCUGGAGCUUGGGUAUGUCAUGAACAAUGCCCAUGCGUCAAAAUAGCUUCCUCACAAAACAUCGUACUUGAUGUCAUCGAGUAUAUUAAAGAAUUUAGAGCUUUUAGAGCUAUGAUAGAGCUGAGGGAUUUGCGCAGUUCACAGAGACUGACCUAGCAUGCCAGAGAUCCUGGAUCUGUUCCCCUUGACUAUACACCCACAGCAGGGGUGGGGUUGGAGGUGUACCUCUAGUCAGCAUUUCAGAGGCUGAAGCAGGAGGACACAGAGAUGUUGCUCUAACCAUCUCCUCAGCCUUCCUGGAAACUACAGCUCAUAAAAAAUAAAGGUACAUGUUUGUUCUUUUAGCUCGUUUAUUUGUCUUUUUUCGUUUGACAUAGGGUCUUUUGCUAUAGCUCCUGUAAUUCACUAUGUGGACCAGACUGACCUCACACUCACAGACAUCAGUCUGCUUUGGCAUCCCCAGUGCUGGGAAUAAAGGUGUGGUCACCAUGCCUGACUCUACGAGCUUUAUUCAUUUGUCCUUCAAUUUCUUUUUAAUUUAAGUUUUUUGCUUUUUAUGUCUAUGAGUUUUUUUGUGUAUAUUUGUGGACCACAUGCCUGCCUGGUACCUUCAAGGACAAGAAGAAUGUGAUGAUGAAGAUUAUGUUUAGAGGAUAAUUUGAGACAUCCUGGGCAAUAUAGCCAGCCCUUGUCUCAAACACAGAAAGAAACCUACACCCAGGCUGGGGUUGUCCAGUUCAAAUGACAGAGCAGAGUAGGGGAUAACUUUCCUAAACCAGGAUAGGUGAGAAUGGGGAAACUGGGAGGCAAACCCUGAUCAUACACAACAGGGACACUUGUUUGCGGGAAUGAUGUGGCUUCACUGGGUAAGCACUUACUUGGAUGGAGGUUCUCAUGCAACCUAAACUGGCCUUGAGCUCCUGAUCCUCCUGCUGUAGCCUCCCAAGUUCUAGGAUGACACAGUGCCCUGCUAUGUCCAGCUUCAGGGUUACUUCCCACAGUGUCUGCAAGCAAUCAAGAUUCCAGGAAUAAGUGCAUUGCAAUAAACCAAGCCUCCAUCUCUGGGGGACUUGAGGUCCUCUCAUAAGCAGUAAGAGCUACUUGGGAUGAUG